rnacentral:rRNA from 1 species
GCGCGAAAACUUUACAAUGCUGGCAACAGCGAUAAGGGAACCUCGAGUGCCAGGUUACAAAUCUGGCUGUCGAGAUGCCUAAAAAGCAUUUCAUAGCAAGGGCCGGGCAAGACCGGUGCCAGCCGCCGCGGUAACACCAGCGGCUCGAGUGGUAACCGUUAUUAUUGGGUCUAAAGGGUCUGUAGCUGGCCGGAUAAGUCUCUUGAGAAAUCUGGCAGCUUAACUGUCAGGCUUUCAGGAGAUACUGUCUGGCUCGAGGCCGGGAGAGGUGAGAGGUACUUCAGGGGUAGGGGUGAAAUCUUGUAAUCCUUGAAGGACCACCAGUGGCGAAGGCGUCUCACCAGAACGGACCUGACGGCAAGGGACGAAAGCUAGGGGCACGAACC